AUGUAUUAUGAUCUUCUAACAACCAUGUCAAAAUUGUGAAACAAGAUGAUUUUGAUCCAGAUAAAUAAACAAAAUUAAGGUAUGUUUUUUUAAUUUGUAACCUACUUCAGUGAGACUGUUGCUAUAUUUAAUUUCUUGUGUGUUGAUCUUAUUUUUCUUUACAUCACAUCACUUUGACUACUGAGUUUCUCAUGUGUAGUGUCAUAUGAUGUCUGUUUUUUGUUCUCUUUCAACAUUUCUUUGUUAUUAUUUUUCAUAC
rnacentral:lncRNA from 1 species